GUCGGACGCACAGUGGGGCAGAUAUAAGACCAGGUGGAAUCAUGGGGCUGACACGUUCAGCUAAAACAAUGGCACACAAUUAGGCUGUUUUUUUAUGGCACAGAGCCACAGGCCCACGUGAAACUUUUGCUCAGCUCCACCCCCCUAGCAGGAAAGCAGAGGUGUGUCGUGACGUCACGGUCUCACCACUACAAAAACUUGGCCAGUUAAAAAAUCCACGCUGUAAGAUCUGCGCCUAAUUAGGACAAGCUGUAAGAUUUGCGCCUAAUUAGGAUUUACAAGACUCACACGUCGUUUAGAAUAGGUUGGGAUGACCGCAAUAACCACAGAUUUUCAAGCUUUUAAUGUGUGUUCUGCUCUAUUUUUAGUACUAAGUCAUGUUUCCGCACAAGUGACAGUGGGUAGUUGAAGCCUAGCAGUAUAAAAACAACCCGCGCUUGUGGGAAAUGUCCCGUCUAGCCGUGGCGCCAAGCGACCACAGCAAAUCUCUGCCCACCAUUCUGCACAAGCUGCGGGCCGUGCACAACUUUUCCGUGCUAGCUGGGAGCCAUGAAGCCACAAGUACACAAGAAGAUUACAAACCUCGUCUGGACGGUCGAGUACUCCGGAGGAAAAACUCGUCCUUGUCCAGCCUGAUGACGUCACACGGCCAGGACGUCAGCAAGUCGAGCACAAGCCGGCCCACGUCUGCCGCUAGACCGCCAACUGCUGACUCACGUAGCAAACAGUUGCGGCAGAUGGAGGAGCGGCGGAUUCUCGCGCGCAAACAGGAAGUGGCCGCUCUGUACCGGGACACGCCCCUGACCGACGUGCAGGCGACGUCGACUGACGUCAUCCGCUACCUGUACGAGCUGUGGCAGCCCCAGCUGACCGCCAGCUUCAGGCCGGGCGUCCACACCAGCUCCAGCAGCCGACAGGACCUGCGCAGUACCAGGUGGUUGGUGCAGACGACACCACGUCACGUGAUGAAGCUGCACCGCGCCAGACUCGUCAUCGACAUGUGCCACCAGAUAGCGACGUCUGAAGAUGUUAGCAAGUGAGGCGCCAACCUGUGGCACGUGACUAUAUGACCAACAAACGAGAUGACCCAUACAUUACAUUCAUAUCAUCUAGAUUAACGGACAAAUCAACUGCCAGUUGAAGUGGAGAUCCUCCAGAGAAAAUGGAUUGGCCACACACUCAGGAAGCCUGUAUCGAGCAUAACAAGACAGGCCCUCACCUGGAAUCCACAAAGCGGGAGAGGCAGACCAAGAAAGACCUGGAGACAUGACCUGAAAGAAGACACCAAGAAGAUCGGAUACACAUGGGGACAGUUGGAGUAGGUAGUCCAAACUGGCGAAAAAGUGCUUUUAUGGUCAGUUUUUGCGGUUUUCAAAAAAAAAAUUUCACUACUUCUAGUUGUCCUAUAAGAAUAAAAAUUAUAUGUCAAUAAAGUUUAAGUCUUUAUCUGACGUAAUCUGGUAUCUUUAUAUCUGUAACACAUGUUUGAAUGUGUUUUAUAUUUGUUUGAAAAGUAUCAGUUACGUCAACAAAUGUCACCGUUUUGCGCGUACCGAUCGACCCCACACUGUUUCAUUUGGUUGCGGCUUCGCGACGAAGCAUCGUAGAAGCAUAAUCUUAAUGUCCUUUUAAAGAGCGAAUUCUAGUCUAUCGUUUAAUGUAUAAAUUGAAAAAAUAACUAGCUUAAUUCAUUUUAAUAAAUCAGUUUUUAAAAUUUAAAUGCCAAUAUAUACACGAAAACAAACUAAUUCUGUUUCAAUUUUUACACCGAUGUAAAGCUCACUUUUAUAACUACUUUGUGUUGUAAAUUCAAGUAUUUCUGAUUUACGGUCGCGAAGCCGUGCCCUCAAUAAGCAUGUAACCCUCGAGUCAACUUUUAGCCCCGGGUGAGUUGCUCGCCGAAAGGUUUUAAAGCUUGACGACCGAUGAUGCUAAACGGAUUUUACCCUUGCUAGAGCCUUCAAACAAGUUCUGGAGACAUUUAUGGUGGCUUAUCCAGAACUUUCCUUACAAGGGAAGGGAAGAAGGCCAAGAGCCCCCCCCCCCCCCUACAGUUCCCAAAACAUAUCACUUU